rnacentral:rRNA from 1 species
UACGGAAGGCAGCAGUGGGGAAUAUUGCACAAUGGGCGAAAGCCUGAUGCAGCUAUGCCGCGUGUAUGAAGAAGGCCUUAGGGUUGUAAAGUACUUUCAUCGGGGAGGAAAAAACAAAACUAAUAAUUUUAUUUCUUGACGUUACCCGAAAAAGAAGCACCGGCUAACUCCGUGCCAGCAGCCGCGGUAAUACGGAGGGUGCUAGCGUUAAUCAGAAUUACUGGGCGUAAAGAGCACGUAGGUGGUUUUUUUAAAGUCAGAUGUGAAAUCCCUGGGCUUAACCUGGAACUGCAUUUUGAAACUGAAAUACUAGAGUAUCGUAGAGGGAGGUAGAAUUCUAGGUGUAGCGGUGAAAUGCGUAGAUAUCUGGAGGAAUACCUGUGGCGAAAGCGGCCUCCUAAACGAAUACUGACACUGAGGGUGCGAAAGCGUGGGGAGCAAACAGGGAUUAGGAUACC